CUUUUUGUCCACAGCGGCAUACUGCGCGAAACCUCGUAGAUGUGAAUAUUAGAAAAUCGCGAAUGAGCAUUUAAGUUCCCGAACGUAUAUGCCGUGACGUGAAAUUGUAGAACCUUUCCCGAGUUCGCCGAGUUGAUGCGAGAAUACUCAAUGCUCUCCGUAACGUUCUCCGUUGAUUGUAGUGUAUGUUAAAUUAUGAGCCGAGAAUAAAAGACCCAAGCAUCGUGGGGGUAUCACAGAUUCCUUUAAAUGCGAGUCAGCGAUGCACAAUUACACAUUUGCCAGCUGUCCCAGGAUUGGCAGAAGACGAACGUAUCUCGUAUAAGAUUUUAGCCGAUAAACACUUUUUGCAAAUUGAAUUUUAGAGAACUUUACAAAUAAAUGACAGAGUGUUACUAAUUUGUUAAAUGGCCAAAUUUCAAAUGAGCUUUGCUUCGAUUACAAUUAAAGGUUUAAAAAGAGAUAUUGAUUCUCGUUUCUUUUGCGGGAAUUCUGGGACAGGCAGGAUAUCCGACCAGUUUGAGACUACUGCGUUUAAUUAGCGCUUUAAUACAACAUACAUCUCCAGAUAUAUGAAGAGAUAUUCAAUUCGACCUACAUAUAAUGCGGUAUAACUCUUAGCGAAGCUAAUGAAGAUUUGCGUGUAUAAAAUUCUAAUUUCCUUAUAACUAAGACUUAGGAAGCAAAGUCGUAUUUAACUAAUAGCAACGAGGGGACGAGCUUAGGUUUUAGGCGAUGUUUAUAACUGUAGAACCGUAGAAACGAGUGGAAGAGUUUGAAAGGUAACAUAACAGAGCCACUGGUAGCCGGCCUUCCGGCGAUGACUGACUGAAUGAAGACGAUGACUGAGGUAAACGUAAGGCUACGGAAAACAUCCGCUGGUCCUCGAAACAGUUAUUUUCUUUCUCUAACUCAUCAUCUGCAUUCGUCACAUUCUGAUUAUUAUGACGAUUAUUUUCUUCUUGAAGCAGAAAAAAAUCCUUGCAUUGCAUAUAUCUCUUGGAACGCAGCUUUCCUUUCAAAUCAUCUCGUGUCCUCCUCAUAAAAUAAAAAUUUCUAUCUUUAAACGAAAAGUUUUGUAAAAGAAAAAAAUAAUGCGAUAAAUACCAACUGCUGUCUGGUAUUUAUCAGAUUAUUUUUCUUACAAAAUAUGUACAGUUCAUUCCUCACUUUUAUCACAAGAUUUUUGAGAAAUUCUUUGAUGUGACAAAGAUUUGAGAUAAUUUAGCUCGAUUUCGACAUUCUCGUCAUCCUUUUUUCGUUCUUCAUCAGUCGAAGAACGAAGAACCGACGAGGAGUCUUCAGCAACUAAGUGAGCUAACUUGGUACUAGUCGCCCCGCUAAAAUAAAUAACUUUGCCCUCAUAACAAGCAAAGUUGCAUUACGUGUUUGCUUUUUUUUAACAUUUGGAGAACACAAUUUUGUCACAACACGCGUACAAUCCGCGCGGCCAAUUUACAAAUUCUCACAGAUAUCACCGACAGCAAAUCAGAUUGCAGGCAUAUACUUUUCGCGCGUUCGCUAUCUUAGUCACAAGCCACAAACGAGAGCCACGGAGAUGAGCGAUGAUUACCAACGAUUUCGGGAAAACGUGAGUCUGUUUCGUUUGAAAAGAGAGAAAUAAAGAUGUCACAUACCCUGCGGCAGCACCUUUUAACUGUCCUCAUUUUCUCGUUCGCAUCCUGGGAGAACAAGUAGAAUCCGGCCGUUCGAGACAACCGGAUUUGCAAGCCAGAAUCUUGGGUGAAUAUAUAUGUGGAUGGUUGAUGUCCGUGAACGUGCCUUCUUGGAUGGACAGAAAACGAACGAGCAAGUGUUGGCAAAGUUUUUGAGAUGCAAGUGGAAAGACGCGAAAGAGCGAGCGAGCGAGAGCGAAAGAAAGAAAGGUGAAAGGAUCUGAAGAUGAGAGAGUAAAAGGGGAGAGAGAGAGCGAGAGAGGAGUAUAUAUUUUUGCAGGAUAAUUUGGUGGGAUGAUGAUGAUAAUGAUGAUGAUGAUGAUGAUGAUGAUGCACUGCGCCGAGAGAAGUUGCGCUAGACAAGUGUGGAGCGAGUGCUUUUUGAAAGCGUGGGGGAGUUUUUUCAUUGUAAGAGCGCGACUCGUAAUCGGUGAUGGUUGAUCGCGAUUGAGCUGAUUAAUUCGUCUUCUUGCGAAAGAAGAGACAAAUGAUGCUUCUGAGACAGAUACGGAAAGUUACGUUUGGAAAAGUCUAUUUAUGUUUUGGAGAUGUCCUAUUGAUUUAGAGAUGUAACUGAUGACAUAAGAUGCGACGAAACAAUACACGCAAGAUUGAAAUAAUUAUUAAUAUUUGACAUAUUGAACAUGUGAAGACUUUCAGGAGGCAUAAUGAAUAUUUAAUCCCAAGAAAGAUCGUAUAAAUAACAUAAUAUAUAUCAU